AAACCAUGCUGUGUACACUUCCGCAAGAGGUCCUUAAAUCGAUCCCAUGUCUCAAACAAGGAUUCAGGCUCCAUCCGAUCAAACGACGAUAUUUCAUCUUUGCUUGU